UACCCUGGACUCCACCAGGAAAAGUAACUUGGGGGCAGGAGGAGUACUUGGCAGGGAUGACUAGGAAGAGGACUGAUAAUUCACUUUGGUUGUACAGGCAUUUUGCCUCAGGGACAAACCUUGAUUAGUCUCCAGUGACUGUCCAUCACAUGUGGAAAUACCAAACAUCCUACAAGGCUUCAUCUGUUAAAAGCAAGGGAAAUACCUUUCCCCAUCUUUCUCCCACUGAUUGAAGACAGAAGGAAGAAUCUGCUGCUUAGUACCUGAUAAAAAAUUGCAGUGGAGUGUGAUGCAUAAAGAGAAGAUUCCAGAAUGCAGAAACUACAUCACAGGAAACCUCUUCACCACCUCUCUCGAUAGAAAUCUGACCUUGGCCUGCUCACUCGAGAUGGGGAGAGCCUUUGGGGAGAACAGAUGGGAGCCAAGGAGCUGCUCAGGACCCACAGGAGAUUUUUGGCAUAUUGAGAAACUUGGUCUUCAAUUAUAGCAGCAAGUGAGGAGUUUGAAUGAGUGCACACAGAACGGGAAGAACAUCAGUGCCUUCAGUCUUUGGCCUUCUAACCAAGAAAGGACUUGUGAAGGUGAAUGGUUUGCAGACGAAGGGGAUAUAAAAGAGACAAAACCAGGAUAAAAAUUAAAUAAAAAGUAGCUGUCUUAAACUGUAAUUGCACUCCUCUGCUGAGCAUGCUUUCAGAUAUAUAAAUGUGAUUUACCAUCAGCUUGCAACUACAAAUCAGGUCUUAAGAAACACUUGUGCUAUGAAAUUGUUUAAUCUCAUCAAGCUCUGCUUUCACAGCAAGCCAUAAAUCACAAAGUCUUUGUUAUCAUAGACCUCCAUGAGCGCCUCUCAGGCAGGCAAUGGAUCGUGGGUAUAUAUAAUCCUGACUGCACAAACAGUGGGGUCGUCGCAGCCUGAAAUACUUUCAUAAUAGCCACUGUGCAGCUGGUGGAACACAAGCCUAUGAUGGAUAUCUCAUUUCCUACAGUCGGCAUCUAUUUCGAGCAAAUUAUUACCACAUAAAUUUCUUGUCAACAGAAACGGCCAAUUAAUUAAGUUAAAAAUUUACUCGUGAUCACAUCUACAAACCAAAUAGAACUGCAAGGCAAUUUUACAGUUACUGAAUAUACUGCAGGUCAGUUUAAUGAAUAAUUUUUAACUUUGUCAUAAACUCAAAGACAGGCUAAUGUCUUGAGGAACCUGACUGGAGAACAGCUGCCAACAGAUUUACGCAAAAUAUAUUUAUGCAGAUUUUGAUUGCUGACAUCUGGGAACAGAAAUAAACUUCAUACAAUUACAGAAACUUCACAGGAAUAUGAAAUUUCCUAGCUAAAAAUAAGCAACUUUUCCUCCACAACACUAUAUUUGAAUGUGUUUAAAAUGGUAACAGAAUUGUUGUUCGGGGAAAAGAUGGCUCAUUAUCAAAGCCAAGAACUACAGUACGUAAAACCCUGUUGGUUACGCUUGCUUUAAAAAUUAUUUUGUUUUCAAGCUUCUAAACUUGAGUUUUCCUGGCGUAUUUAUCACACACACACAAAAACAUAUAAUGUAGUCAUAAUUAGUGGGUGGAGAUAACUGGAUGGUUUUUCACCCCCAGCAGUGAAUGAAAGUUAUUCUUUCCAAGGAGUCUCCACAUCAGUUAAAACACUGUCAGUGCUGCAGUGCAAGAGAAAAUUCAAGCUAUGGCCUCCAUACAAAUCAAAGUGGGCAGAUUGACAGAGGCAUGAAUACAGCUACUUACUUUGGGUUAUUAUAGACAUAAAACUGGUCUGCAUGAGAACAUGCACAUUUCUAAGUACUUCAUAAUUUUUAUUUUAACCUUCUUUCACCCUCUUCCCCCAUUCUUCCUGAAAUGAAAGCAAAUAUAUCCCAGCCACUGUAACUAUGAGAUCAAAUAGCCUUUUCCAACAGAUUAAAAACCAGAGGAUUAAUUAAAAUAUGGAGUGGCUUUUGCCUCUAUAUAGAGGGUUCAUUUUUAGUAGAGGAAGACAACAACCUUAAAUAACAACAUGAACGAAAUAGUUUGACAUUGGUGAUGAUGUGACCUUUCUUAUUGACAUCUUUUACAAUUCUUUUACUCUCUCUUCAUUAAAAUUAAGAUAUCAAUAUUAUAUAUUUGCUAGUAUGCAAUGAAUAAGCUGAAUAAAUCUUUGAAAGGUUAAUAAUUAAUGGUGUAAUCAGAACCAAAAAAAAGCAGAAAUUCCUCAUCAUAUAAUUCCAAGUGGGAAAAGAAAUGCCUAAGAGAAAAGAACCAAACCAGUCUGAAAAUAACACCUUCCCAUUAUUAUUCUCAUGGCAAAGAGGUAGACCUUUAUAGAACUU